AGUAAGACACUUCAGCAGACACAGCCGGCCCAUCGGGAAUCCUCACGAAUCUCCCGAUUAGCCACUCCGGGCCUGGACACACUGACAAAGUUGUAAUUAACUGAUUUCCAAUUUCCAGUCUUCAUUAUUCAUCUUUUAAUAAUGCUUUUUCCGCCCAAUUCCUUUGGAGGGGAGUGCAGACAUAUGUUCUCAGUCUUCAAACUGAUUGGGCAUAAAAAAGGCCACUGCAAAUUUCAUAUUUCUUUAUUUGUGGAUUUCAUGCAUCUGUUUGCCAGUAUUCAUGCCCUUAGUGCUGUCAUUAUCAGCCAGCAUUGGCAGAGCAGCCAAAAAAAUAUUGAGAGCAUGUGUGCUGUUUGACAAAAAGGUUAAUUUAUAUAAAAUAAAAAAACACUUGAGGCUUGUAGUGUAAAGACAGCCACUGACACUGGUGAUUUUUUUUUUAGAUUUUAUAUAACAUUUUAUUAUUUUAUUGUUUAUUCUAUUAUAAUUCUGGUCUAAGUGAUUCCUAAAUGGCCAGUGAGUUUAUUUAACUGCGACUGAGUGAAUACAGCCCAAACCCAAGGUGUGUUAAAAACAGUUUUUUUAGUCCGGUGUUCUGUCGAAUUUUGCUACCCAUCGAUACAUGCUUCCCAAAGGUACUGCGCAUGCGCCGACCUACACAAUUUAAUUCUUUCUCGUGUUUUAUGUAUAAUUAAUCUGGUUUAGGGGGCGUUAUGUGCAUUAAACAACCUGGGCGCACUAUCAUUGCACAGAAGUGUAAAUGGAAACUAAAAAUUACACUUAUUAUCAUAAAUAAAUACAAAAGCAGUUUGUAAUGAGCUAUAUUUACUAUAACUUUGCCAUGGUACAAUGAAUUAUGCACUCCAAAUCUAAUAACGUACAUCUACUGGAAUAUCACUGGGUACAUGCCCUAAAAUAGUGCUUCUUUUGUAUUUUUACAGUUAAAUAUUCAUUGGGGCAGCACGGUUCGACAAGGUAGCAGAAUUCGACAGAACGCCGGCCCUCUUUCUCCAGUCCAGCUCCGCCCGCCCUCUCAUCAACAGACUUUUGGAAGAAACCAAAGUCACUGGAAAAGAGGGGGAGAUCUGAGAUUUUGAGGCAUGAUAUUUAAUAUAAUUAAAAUAAUAUAUUUCACCGUUCCUAUUAAAUUAUGAUUAUUUACGUUUAUAUCUCACGUUUUAAUACAAUAUAACAUAUAAUGAAUAUAUUAAAACACACAAAUUAAAAACCUUUCGGGCAACAAAAAAACCCCGAACCUAGUUUUGAAUGGUCGUGGCUCCACUCCACUGAAUCAGUAGCCACAAGAAAGACGUCCUUUUCUCCGGGAGCUGCAUGGGGACUGCAGGAGUCCAAAGCCUCGCUGUGUUUUAUGGGGAACAGUUAUUAAUAUUGGGUCAAAUAAUCCAGUAUUUCUUCACUCUGGUGCUGAAGGUGCGCUGCGCUGCUCUUUACUGUGUUAACCCCUUUACUCUGUUUUCAUUUAAAGCCCCUCAGUCUUAAAACAGCGGCACUAGCGGGCCUUCAGCACCGAUAGUGAUUAUUACCCUGCCGGAUUAGAUUAGAGCAGCGCGGCGGAGCUCUGUAAGUCCCGGUGACGCUGCAACUGGAUUUUAUAAAGAUAUGAGAGAAGAAUGCUUUCGUCGAGGAUUUAACAUGAAAAGGUAAGCUGCUGUUAUGUUCUGAUCUGUGCAGGCAGUUUAUGCACUUAACGUAACUCCGUUAGACAACUAACUUACAGAGCUAGCGUUUGUUGUGUCUCCGGCUUAGUUUUCUGCAGUCCAUGAUUAUUAGCUAAGGUGUUUAUUUUGACCCCAAACAGCAGCAUUCACUGCAUUUUGCAUACUAUUAACUAACCGCGUGAAUCCACUGUACGUGCAAGUUAGCGUUAACUUCAUCACGAACGAGUAACGGAUUAGUAAACACACUCUUGUCUUUUUUUUUAAUCCUCACAGUUUCUGUCAGAAAACACUGAAAGAAAACUUCUCCUCUGUCUAUGUUUAUACAGCGAUGGUUUGGGUUUAAAGCUGGGUUUGUUGUGCUGGAUAUUUGGUUAGGAGAAGGAGAUUUUAUAAGAUGUGUGGCUGCAUAAUUGUGAACUGAGAUCGCGGUCUGUGAAGUUACACCCGCAGGUAACCAGUGACUUUAAAAAACAAACACAGCUGUUACUGGACUUGAUGGGUUUAAAAAAAAUGAGUUAAUUAAUUUUAAAAGACUAGGCUACUAAUGUUGGCCCUGCUGAGUCCAGCUGAUCAUCCAGAAAUAAACAUUACCUAUGCUGGUCAAAAGCUAUUUAAAGAGCUAACCUCCCAGGGUGUGUUUGUUUGUUUUUUUCUGGUUUUGAGCAUUUUUUUAAGGAGGGAGUGUAAGUCUGUGCUGCAGUAGAAGAGUGUAAUUUUAGAAAAGUUGCUGUAUUUGUCUCACUGCCUUAGAUAGUAUAGACUUUAAACAUGUUACUAAAAAUUAACACUGGACCGUGUUUUUAAAUACUUGCCAUUCUGGAUGUCCUGAACAUUUUCAUGCAGGCCUGUGUGUUUUAAAAAAUAUAUAUUUUAUUCAUUCUAUUUUAUGUCGGUUAGUUUUAUUUAUAUAAAGUAAGACCUGUAGAUCUACUUUAUUGGAUAAAUUGAUACAGCUACCAUGAACUGUUUUGUUUCUGUUCUGUAAAAUCAGGCCCAGUUCCAAAAGACACAACACCCUCAGUGUCCUGGAGCUCCAGCUGAAGCACUGGCCACCUUCUCCAUCCCCACCCAAAAGAGGAAGAUCAGCAGCAGUGGAGGGUCCCAGGAUGUUGAGAUGGUAGUGCAGAGCGGUACUUCUAAGGCAGCUAGUUGAAGGCGUGAUUGAGGUCCAUGCCAGAGGGGUUCUGCACUGUGACCUCAAGCCAUAGAACAUCCUGGUUCAGAUGUACAGUUAGGAACCGCGCCUUCAUCUUCUGUUCUUCUGGUAUGGGUUUUCAGUGAACACUACAGGCAGAGAAUAGAGUUGCACGGUGUACCGAAGGUUCGAUUCUUUUUCGAUACUACGUCAUCACAAACGAUUCGGUUCUUUAGCGUUCGAUGCUUUCGAUACUGUAUAAAGCCCAGUCACUAGCUUCAAAUGAGUCAAAUUAGUAGGCGCGAUUUGAUUCAGUUCAUAAGAAAACUGAUUCACACUGCAGCAGUCGGUGUGGCAGGAUUCAGAUAAACUUAGUGUUCUGAACAAAUGAAUCGAUUCACGCGCAAGCCAGCAGAGCAGCAGCGAGUGUAGAAUGGCGACGGCUAAAAUAACAGAUGUCUCUCGUCCGCGACUUGUGGACAAAACGGGCGCGAGGAGUGAAGUGUGGGAAAAUAGUCUGAGAUGUAGGCAUCUGUUUUUUAUUUAUAUUUUUAUUUUUAAAUAAAAUAACGAAAAUAACGAAAACUACUACGUAAACUACUUUAUUUAUUAGCGCUGUUUUCACUCCCGCAGUUGUACAGCGGGGGGUGUUGUGCCGAUUCUGUCCGCGAAUCGGGAGUCGGAUUCAGUAGCGGAUUCGGCACAAGCGCGGCGGCACCUCGCGGUCCGCGGUGUUAGUUGUAAGCACUCGUGCUAGCCGCAAAAUACGACAGAAAACACUGAGGGAGCUGCAGACUUAUGUGUGGGACUAGAAUAUGAGCACGAGGAGAUAAGAGAACCUUUACCUGUGAGUAGCUCACAUCAGAACACGCAAAUCUCUCUCACUCUCGCUGUGUCUCUUUCUCUGUCUCUCUCUCUGUCUCUCUCUCUCUCGCACGUGAACGCCUCCGCGUUUGACCUGCAGCACUGUGUUUAGCUGUUCUUAAAAAUCAUUUUAAUUAAAUAAUAGUUAUAUGCUUCUAUGUUACAGUGUUAUUUAACAUAAUAGCAGACAAGCACCCUGAUCUCUACAAAGAGCUGUGAAGUCGACAGGUUAGUGGAGUUAGUCAAGAUACACUCUGUCUGUAGCUUUACUAAGAUUUACUAGCGACUGCUUAUUAAAAACGGUAAACGGUUGAUUAAUAAAACGGAGCAGUGAGUGUUAAAAUGAACAUAACAUUGUAAUGUUCUUCUGUCUCUUUAUUUUCCUUAUUCAGAACUUAACUUCUGCCCGCCCGUCAGGUUCACAUAGUCAGGCUACCAUUACCUCUGGUUUUAGUUUUAGUUUUUAGGAAGUGUUUAGAUAAUUAUGUUAUAGUUAAGGUUAUAAUAACGAAACUUGUUUUUUGUUCAAAUGUUUCAUUUUAGAAUAAAAACGUUUGCACCUAUUGUUCAGUGUUCAAUCCAGUUCAGUCAAAAAUAAACAUUUUAUGUUCAGAUAUUUUUAUUGUUUUUUUUUUCUUCCAAGUAUCGUUUUGGUAUCGAGAAUCGUGAUACUACAGUUGGUAUCGGUAUCGAAGUCAAAAUUUUGGUAUCGUGACAACCCUAGCAGAGAACUGUCUUCUUUGUAGAAGCUACCAUUACUGAAUAGAGAUUCAGGUCAAAAACAUUCCUUAACGCUCAGUCACUGUCUCUAAUUUACUUUUCAGGACCUUCCUCAUGAGUGGUUUACCCAUGAGGCCAAAUCCUCUACAGUGUUGCAGAUAGGAAUCAUCCUGCUGUGUGUGAGAGGUGACCCUUCAACACCAGCACGGAGAUCACCUCAAAGAAGUCUCAGAUCAUCUCUCCACCAUCUGCUCUAUGACCCCUGGCUAAGUAUACACCACGACACAGCCACCACAUCAGGCACACCUCAGUCAGGUACCAUAUAAAACAAUAAUAAUAAUAAUUUUAAAAAAUCUAUAUUUUCAAUCUCUAGUUUAGAGAGUUCUCUAGUAGAGCUGGGCGAUUAAUCGAUUUUAUCGAUAAAUUCGAACUUACAGUUAAGGACAAUGUGUUUUCAUGAAAAUCAAUUUUCUCUGAGUUUUCUUUUUCACCACAGACGCUCCUCUGUGGGCACAGAGUGAGCUUAGCUAGCUCCCUCCAUACCUCCCUCCCGCGCGCGCACCCCCCACCCCUCCCUCCCUUGCACGCACAAACACACGCACACACACACACAUACACAAAACACAUGACGGCGGAGCUUAAGAGCAACUAGCUCCGUGAUCUGGAGUUGGUUCGGUUUUGCGGCGUCGGACGUAGACCAAACAGGUCCUCGCUGUAAGGUGAACCAAUUUAUCACUAUACCUUAAACAGAACCAUGUAGCGGAGUGGGAGAAGUGCUGCUACCAUAGGAAUGAACGCAGCAGCAGCACCAGUUCACCAUUCAACGUUAAACAAGGAACUGUCCCUGGCACAUCUUCCCACCGUGUACCAGGUUCUGUAUGCACUACAAGUUAAGAUGUUUUGCAUAUUCAUGAGAAAAGAUCUCAUUUUAUAGAACACUGGCACUUAUUUAAAUGCUUUGUUUUGCAAUUCUAGCCCAAUAGGGAAAAGUAUUUACUUAAGAGCAUAUAAAUUGUACUUGUUUUCUAUUGUCUACUUUGUAAGUUUUAUCAAAAAAGGGCACCAUUUUAUUUAUUUCUAUUUGUUUUUAAGGGUGUGUUUAUUUAUUUAUAUAUUUUUUAAGUUUGAGGGUGCAUUGUGUCAGUUCCUAAACUAUGUUGGAGAAAGCUUUCUAAAAGUCACUAGAUGUUCUCACUGUUUACAAUAGUUUUUUUUGCUUGUUUCUGGUUGCACUUUAACCACAAAUGGAACAUUUUAAGUGAAAACAAAUUAAAUAAGAACUAGUUUUUAACCAUUUCUUUAUCAUCUUUAGUUUGAUUUUUAGUAGGGGAAAAAAUCGAUUUAAAUCGAAAAUUGGAUCGGCCAUAUCGCCCAGCUCUAUACUCUAGUUUAGAGGUUUUUUUUUAUAAAACACACCUAAGGAAAAUAGCAGGUAUUAAUAAAGCUAUUGAUUCCAUACUUUUAAAAAGGUAAUGAUUUUCUUUAACUAUAUAAAUGUUUUAAUCGUUUUGUGUAUUGUAUGCUUUUAAUUGCUUCCUGUUUUGUAUUUGUGUUCAUGUACUUAAGGCUUUAAUCCUUUUAUCUUGAUAUUGUUUAUCUUUUGAUGUUUAUUAAUUACUUAACUGUAUUUAUCUUUAUGUAGUAUACUGUUAGUGUUUUAAUCCAUACACUUUUUGUAUAUAUUUAUUUUAUUGCUUAGUUACUUGCUUUAUUAAUGGUUAUUGUAUUGGUGUUUUAGUCUUAUUUUGCGCUUAUAUUCAUUAAAAACAUUUUAACGUUUGUCUUUUAGUGCUUUAAUCAAUUAAUAUUGUACUUACCUUUUACUAUUUUACUAUUAAUCUUUCUGUACUUAAUUAUACAUUAUUUUUUAUUUAUUUUUUUAUAAAAUUAAAGGCGGGUUUAUUAAUUGUAUGUCUUUAUACGGGAUUUUAUAUUUGCAUUGUAUAUAUUUUUGUUUCAUUUAAUGUUUAUGCUCUUUGUCUUUUUCAGAUUUUUACAUUUUUAAUUUGUGUAUUGACCCAAGGAGUAUGGGUUCCUCUCAAGGUUUCUAUCUCUCUUUCUGAGAGAAUUUUCUUUGCCGCUGUCUCCUUUGUGCUUACUCAAAAGAGGUUUGGACACUUUUUUUUUUUUUUUUUUAACUGUUCUUAAUUUUGUUUGUUUCUUAACUUUGUCAAUAAAUGUUUUUUAUUGCUAUCA